AGUGAACGUUGGCGGCGUGGAUUAGGCAUGCAAGUCGAGCGAGAACCGUAGCAAUACGGGGACAGCGGCGGAAGGGACAGUAAUGUGUAGGUACCUACCCCGAGGUCUGGGAUAGCUGCGGGAAACUGCAGGUAAUACCGGAUAAUGUCUUCGGACCAAAGGUGUGAUUCCACCUUGGGAGGGGCUUGCAUCCUAUUAGCUAGUUGGCGGGGUAAUGGCCCACCAAGGCGACGAUGGGUAGCGGGUGUGAGAGCACGACCCGCGUCAUUGGGACUGAGACACUGCCCAGACACCUACGGGUGGCUGCAGUCGAGGAUCUUCGGCAAUGGGCGAAAGCCUGACCGAGCGACGCCGCGUGCGGGAUGAAGGCCUUCGGGUUGUAAACCGCUGUCGUAGAGGAGGAAAUGCAGGUGGGUUCUCCCAUCUGUUUGACCUAUUCUAGGAGGAAGUACGGGCUAAGUUCGUGCCAGCCGCCGCAGUAA
rnacentral:rRNA from 1 species